rnacentral:rRNA from 1 species
AGCCUGCGGUUUAAUCGGACUCAACGCCGGGAAACUCACCAGAUAAGACAGCUGAAUGAUAGUCGGGCUGAAGACUCUACUUGACUAGCUGAGAGGAGGUGCAUGGCCGUCGUCAGUUCGUACUGUGAAGCAUCCUGUUAAGUCAGGCAACGAGCGAGACCCACGCCAACAGUUGCCAGCUCGUCCUCCGGGAUGGUGGGGACACUGUUGGGACCGCUCUGCUAAAGAGGAGGAAGGAAUGGGCAACGGUAGGUCAGCAUGCCCCGAAUUAUCUGGGCUACACGCGGGCUACAAUGGGUGGGACAAUGGGUAUCGACACCGAAAGGUGAAGGCAAUCUCCUAAACCCAUCCGUAGUUCGGAUUGUGGGCUGCAACUCGCCCACAUGAAGCUGGAAUCUGUAGUAAUCGUGUCUCAAAAUGGCACGGUGAAUAUGUCCCUGCUCCUU